AGCUUGUCAACAACAGGUGGGUUUUGUUUUAGCAUAGACAUUAAUGGUAGCUAGCAAGCUAUCAAAGGGAUUCUAGCUAGCUGAUGAGAUAAAAUGGCUGAGAAAAGUGGAUUGGAGAACUGGACUUUGGUGCAUUAAGCAUCAACAGCAACUCCGACAAUUUAAGAUCGGAACGAGAAUCAACAAUGAAAAAUAUUUGAGAGAGCAUCUAGAGGUGGAGGCCUUUUUAAGGUUUGUUAAUUGGCUGGCACUGGUUGACGAGAUGUAUUUCUCAAAAGACCCACAGACAUUCGAGAGUUCGCAGCAGAUUACUUUACCAACCCAAACCUUUGUAUGAUCAUUGGCUCCAAACUGCAGGGCGAUCCUGCCGACACAGGCACAGACUGAAUCCUUAACGGAUUGUUUGGCAGUUCAACUGUUAUUGAAGUGUAAAGCUGUAACAAGCCUCUUUCUCUGUGUCCUGCACAUCCUCUGUAUUGACUAGUUAUUUGUGUCAAAGUAACAUUAUAUAAAGUAGGAAUGUACUGGCAUCCAGGCAGAGUUUCUUAACAAGCAUCAUUACUACAGGUUAGUUACAGGGCUACAGAUAGAAGACUUCUAGGCCUAUAGGGUGGAGUGGACAGCCUCUUUACAGGAGUUUUCUCCGCGAAAAGUCUAAACGGGAUCAUUGGGACGUUCCAACUCUGACGUUACCCCAUUGAAGUUGAAAUUUAAAACAGUUAAGGUUAGAUGAGAGUAUGGGUUAAGGUUAGUGACGUCCCAAGGAUCCCGAAUAGCACUAACCAUUUUCUCAGGCCUCAGAGUACCCCCUUCUGGACUCUUACGUACUUCCAUUCACUCU